AUGGACUCAAAUGUCAUGUUUUUCACCGAAACAUGGUUGAACAACAGCUGCCCGGACAAUGCUAUUCAGUUAGCAGGACGCCACACACACCGAGCCGACAGGCUAGCAGAUGACUCCGGCAAGACCAGAGGUGGAGGUUUGUGCAUUUAUAUUAACAAUGCUUGGUGCAUGAACUCCACUACUACUGAGAGUCACUGCUCACCUAAUGCGGAGUUUUUAAUGGUCAAAUGCAGACCUUAUUAUCUCCCCAGAGAACUCACUUCGAUCAUACUCACUGCAGUGUAUAUCCCCCCCGACGCUAAUGCUAGGUUGGCCAUGAAAGAACUUUCUGCAGCCAUUAACAAACACCAGAAUAAACACCCCGAGGCUGCUUUUAUUGUUGCUGGUGACUUCAACCACACCAACUUAAAGACAGUCCUCCCCAGAUUCCACCAACAUGUCUCCUGCCACACCAGAGGAGACAAGACUUUACACCAUGUGUAUUCCAACCUGGCUGGAGCCUACAAAGCAACACCCCUCCCCCACAUUGGACAAUCGGACCGUCUCUCCCUGUUCCUCACACCUAGGUAUUCACCACUCAUCCAACGUGUGAAACCUGCUGUGAGGACAAUUAAAGUGUGGCCAGAGGGGACAGACGCAGUGCUCCAGGACAGAUUUAAAAACACAGACUGGAAUAUGUUCACCCACACAGACCUGGACCAGUACGCCUCAUCUGUACUGGAUUACAUCUCCGAAACCACAGACAGUGUCACCACCCAGAAACGGAUCACCAUGUACCCCAACCAGAAGCCUUGGAUGAACCGGGAUGUUCUUCUCCUCCUGAAGGCCCGCAACACUGCCUUUAGGUCAGGAGAUGCACACGCCUACAGUACAGCCAGGGCUAAUCUAAAGAAGGGCAUCAAAAAAGCCAAACACCAUUACAAAAAGAAGGUAGAAGAACACUUCUCCAACUCCAACCCCCGACGCAUGUGGCAAGGACUCCAGACCAUUACAGACUACAGGACCACCAAACCCUCCCCCGCAUCCUCUGAUGUCUCCUUCCUCAACAAGCUCAACAACUUUUAUGCUCGUUUUGAGCAAGGGAACCCCACAACCACAACCAAAACAGACACGACGCCAGACCACCAACCUCUGACUCUCUCCCCCACCGAUGUAGGACCGGUGCUGAGCAGGAUCAAUGUCCACAAGGCUGCAGGUCCUGAUGGCAUCCCCGGGCGUGUUCUCAGAGCGUGUUCUGGGGAGCUUGCAGGAGUGCUCACUGACAUAUUCAAUCUGUCCUUGGCCCACGCUGUGGUACCGGCCUGCUUCAAAUCCACCUCCAUCGUCCCGAUACCCAAAAACUCCAACCCAUCUAGCCUCAAUGACUACCGCCCAGUAGCACUCACCCCCAUCAUCACUAAGUGCUUAGAGCAGCUGGUCCUAGCACACUCAAAUCCUGUCUCCCCCCCACCCUGGACCCCCACCAAUUCGCAUACCGCCAGAACAGGAGCACAGAGGAUGCAGUCUCCAUCGCACUGCACUCUGUUCUCACACACCUGGACAACAACAACACCUACGCCAGAAUGCUGUUUAUAG
ensembl:lncRNA